UCUAGUAAAGGAUUCCCCAAUGCUGGCUCUCAAAAUUGCUUUUGUUUCAUGGAUGAGAUGAUCGAUUUUGUGGAUAUUCUGCUCAACUUGGAUUAUGACUUGGGUCAGAUCCCAACUUGCUGCAAAGCUCACCUGACUAAAUCUUAGUUGAUUUGCUUUUCCAAACUAAAUCCAAGCAAGUAAGUACAAGAGAUAAAAGCAAAAGUUCAAACAUCUCAUUUGAGCCUGUCACUAACAAAAGGUCAACGAGCAAUGUCUAGCUAUGACUGAGCAACAGAAUCAAUAAACAGAGACAAAAAAUAAUAAUCAAGUCAUCUGUCAAAUGCUAGUCCAUGAAAAUCAUAUAUAUAUAUAUAUAUAUGUAUGUAUGUAUGUAUGUAUGUAUGUAUGAUCAUUCAUUUCUCAAUCAACCACCAAAUUGAUGUCAACCAAGCCAGGAGGAUUGUCUCACAAGUCUUUCAAUUUCCCUCUCUUUAGGCCAGAGACCAGUAAACCAUUUGAAAUAUGGAUGUGCAAACCAGUAAAUAAAUCAUGAAGUUACACACUAGUCUGCUUUCGCACUCAUUCAGAACUAUCAAUGAUACUUACUGCAGCGCAGGUACGGUGUAUACAUUAUACUAAAGUGAAGGCUGGAUCAAUAAGAAAUUCAAAAUGUUUCAUCACAUUUGGGGCUUGAUGAUGCCAAAAAAAGACCAUACCAAUUAUGAUGAACAGUAAAAUGUGAACAAGAACAAGCAUACAUUUAAGAAAGCAGAGAAGCAUCAUUAAAAUAAAGUAUUCUUCUUACUAUUCUAUGUUGUUGGAAAAUGGACCAAAAUAAAAAAGAAACCAUGUAUGGUUAACGUCACAACAAGAGUAUUUGUGCAUUUGUACAUCAUAGGAUAUUGGGAAGACAUCAGCAGAGAAGUGCAAAUUUUUUUUUUUUUUUUGAGGAAAGGAAUAGAGAAGUGCAAGUCAAAAAGGAGAAAAAAUGAAAACAGAGAGAUCAAAAGGAAUGCGAUCUAAUUAAUCGUCUAAGGAGACUACUAUGCUACAUUUAACCAUUGGUUGAAUAGGCAGCUUGUUUUCUAGUACAACUUUAAAUUUUCCAAGAUUUAGAAUUUUCCUACUGAAGAAAACUAAUUUCUCAAGCUGCUAUUACCAUCUUCAUCCCAACGGUAAGCAGCUCCAUCCACAGCAAUCACUGGCCUCAUGCACUGCAUGAAACUCUUGAUAGAAGAGCCAAUAGCUACAAAAUAGUAUAAGAAAUUAUCAUUUCCAUCUCGCCGCAGGUGAGUAACUGUACCUUCAUUUGCUUUGGUCAAAACAUGAGAGUAUUUAGAAAGUAAGUUAUAUGACUCUGCAGGGUUGCCUCUAACUAUUUCAAGGCCAAUUUCUUUGGCCCGAUAUGCUUGCUGAUAUGUUAAUUGGACACCGUAUUCCUGUUGGAUGUCUACUCUGAUAUCAUUUGGAGUAUAUAUUCAUUUUUCUUGGAUGAACUUGUCCGCAAUAAUAUGACCAACAACCCGACUCCUUACUUGACGAACACCACCAGCCAAUACCUCAUUACAACAAGUGUGUACGUUGUCAACUCUUCUCACUAACCACGGAACAUUCUGCAUAUAGCCUAAUUAUUACACAUGAUAUUUUGCUGCUGCCAUACUACUUACAUGCGAGUGCUGAUUUUUAAACAGAAAUAUUAAACAGAGCACUGACAGAAACAGAGUUAACACCCGACCGGGUUACCGUGUUAAUUGAAAACAAUUAAUUAACAGGACAAAAACACGAUAAAUUUGGUGGUUUUUUAGUUAAUUUUGCCUGCCCUCUGUCAGUUUCUUUAGUAUUUUUCCUCACAUAUUUGACUUUUUGACCUAUCUCUGGUUGGAAAGAAAAAUGAUUUAAGUAAACUUUCGAAAAUGUGAUUGUGGGGUUUCAGGAUCCUCUCGAGCGAGUUUUGUUGUUCACAAAACCCCUUGUGCCAGAAAAAUUGGAUGCUGCAGGUAUUGUUCCGCCAUCAGAUUCUUCUACGAGGAGUGGUACUAUAGCACGAACUCACAAAUUUCAUGGAAGAAUUGGCCAAGGGGGGCGGAUAGUAUUUGAUAGAUGUAACCCUCUUAUGCACUCCUCAACUGAUAGUGGCACGUCUUUUUACUUGCCACCAAAACCCCGCACAUCUAUGUACAGUUAAAUUGAAUACUCGUUUUGUCUGAGCUCCAGCAUUAUUCGUUAGGGAGCCAAGUGUAAUUAUGCUCAUGCUGAUAUUUAUGUAGUUAAAUUGAAUACUUCCAUUGUCCCAGCUCCAGCAAUUAUUUGUUUGGGAAGCCAAGUGUAAUUAUGCCGAGGGCAAGCAAAACACUGGGCUUGAUGAAUCUUUUGAGGCUUGGUCAUAGGUAUCUCAUGCCGUGCAUCUUGCCUUAUUCUUUUUAAAGAAAUGACCUUGCCCUAAUUUUCCUUUCAAGUUUAAACUUAAUGAGCUUUUAUUACAUCCUUUAUUGUUGAAAUGCUUGUGCUAAUCAUAGUAUUUUCAAAAUUUCCGCCCCAGUUGAUUAUAAAUUUUGUGUGAAUGUUACAAGAUAAAACUUACCUUUAAAAUGUUAACGAACCUGUAAGAUUGGACUUCUUUUAAGGCCUUGAAUUAAGUGGAGGGUGUUUUGGGGUUAAUAAACCAGCAACUAUGCAUGUACUUAGGGGUGGGCUCGGUUCGGAUCGAAAUUAAGUAGAACCGAUUUAAAUCGGUUAUUUUAUAAAAAGAACCGAAUAAGAACCGAACUCAAUAAGAACCGAACUCAAACGAAUCUUUUUGGAUCGGUUCGAUUCGGUUCAGUUUUUUCGGUUCUGGGCUUAUUAGGCCUAUUUUGAAUUUUCAAAUUUUUAACCCAUUGGACCUCAUAAAUGUAAUAAUUUUUUUCAACAAUUAGUUCAACCUAAUUUCAUUACAAAUAUUAACAAUAAAUACAAAGUAUUCAAAACACAUUUUAUCACUAAUAUCUUACUAACUACUAAUAAGGUACUCACAAAAUAUAAAAAUAUUAAAAUUUCAAAAUACAUAACCAAACUUCAAUACUCCAUCUACAUAAACAUAAUCAUAAUGUUGUAAAGACAAAUAAAAAUAACAACAAUUACAAUUUACAACACAAAAUAAAAAGAAAAUUUAGAAACAAACGCCAACAACAUUCUCCCAUUUUCAUCAAUAUCAACAUCAACUUUAAGCAUUUUCCAACUCAAUAUUUGGAUCUAUAAAAAAAAAAUUUAACACAUGUCGAUUUGAAUAAAAUCUAAAAUUAAUUCGGUUUUUCGGUUCAGUUGAGUGAACCGAAUAACGAACCGACAUUUUGGUUUUUUUUACAAAUGAUAUAUUUCGUUUUUUUUUUUAAAUAAAAACCGAUCCGAAUUAGAAAGAACCGCCGGUUCGGUUCGGUAUUUUUAAGACCACGGCUUUUUUGCCCACUCCUACAUAUACUUGGCCAAUGUGGAAUCCUACUUGUACAGAAUAAGGUUGCACAAGACAGUUAAAUAGAUGACGCAAUGGAGACGUCUUUGUAUCGACUUAAUUCAAACUAAUUGUACGACUUCAUUUCUGAAGGAGUCACCAUUUUUAGUCCCAUUUGGAGAAUGUGUACGUCUGGUGUUAAUGCUUAUAAUGAAAAUGAUGCACUAUGUUUGGUGUUUUUCAAUUUAAAAUUGUGUCUAAUAGUGUAUUUUCAGAAUUGGACUAUAAAAAUAGAAAUAGAGAAAACGAUAUAAAAUUAAGGUAAUAUAGGACGAAAAAGUAUGGACAAGGAAGCAGUAAUAUUUGGUGUUUUUCAUUUUUUUCAAUAAAAAAAUGAAAACAAAAUUUUCAAUAUCUAUUCAUCAUUUUUUGGGGAAAAAAAAAAGCUUAAAGAAUAAAUGAAAGGGCGUUUUAAAACAAAAAUGUGAUUGGUGUUUGAAUAAUGACCCUCUCGGUUAGGCAAAACAGUCACAUAAUCAUUUUUUUUUAAAACACAAACCUUUUGGUUCAGAAAUAAUCACACAAGUCUCAAUCUUUUAGCUAAAAAAGAGUCUGUGUAUCUCAAAAGAGACAUGUGUGACAUUUUCUAAAAACAAAAUAUCUUUAUAGUUAUUUUGCCAAAUCACGUGGUGCCUUUAGAAAUAGGAUAGAUUUUAAUUUGCCCCCAAUUUAAAAUGAAAAUCUUUAAUUUAUCACCCAAAAGUAUAAAAAUAUCAAGUUACCCCAUUUAUUGUUAAGAGGAUUAAAACAAAAAAAACCAUCAACACAUUCCUUAUUUGCCCCUCAUCUUUUGGACGGAAAUGAAGAAUAAAUUGAGGUUUACAUUGAGAGCAAAUUAGAGAUUAUCAUUUUAUUUGGGAAUGAAUUAAACUUUAUCCUUAGAAAUAAAAAAUUCAAGAGAAGUACAUCAAAAAAGGUAAUAUAGUUUUCACUUUUUAUGGAGUAUUUGGGUAAGGGUAUUUGCACCCCACUAUUUUUGUAAAUCCACCCUACUUCUAGAAACUAAUUGCAAUGAAUUCACAAUAUUUUUUUAAAAAAUACAAAUUAAUAAAAAUUUUGUAUAGUUAAUCAGUUAAAUCCUUCUAUUAAUUUUUUUCUUGGGUUUUUUGACCAUCUUUAAUCAUAAAAUUUUAAUACAAGUUUUAUUUUAGUAUUUUAUUAUUAUGAUAUAUAGCGACUAAAUUACCAUAAUAAACAUGAGUUAUUUUAAAAUAAAAUGUUGGAGAAAUAUUCAAGGGUAAUAAUAAUUGUGGAAAGAGUGGGACUAUUAGCAGCCCUCUAUAUACCUCUUGAGCCCUGCUUGGAUAGUUACAAUUAUAGAUUAAAUUAAAAUUAUGAUAAUGGACAAACAAGUAGAUAGUCUGAUUGGAUGUGGAAUGAUUUCAUUUGAAUUUCUCUAAAGUUUAAACCAACUUACAUUUUUUCCACAUUGAAAGAGGAAUAGGUGGAAAGGUUAAAAUUGUAAAAGAAUAUUAUAACAGUUUCGAAGAAGAAAUCUUUAUGACGCAUUUUUAACUUGGUGAAAAUUUUCAAUCCCAAGAACUUUAAGCAUACGAAAGAGUGGAUUCUCUCAUUUCCGCCAUUUGUGAGGAUGAUAGUAACGAAGAGAGAACUCACAGAUUUAGUAGUGACGAAGCGAGCAACAGCAGCAGGAGAGAGAUAACAGCAGCACGGAGGAAGAUCAACAGCAGUGAAAGAGACAGAGCAGCAGCACCAGAGUGGUGAAGAAGAGAGAAUAGCAACACGUGCCAAAGAUGGAGAAAAAGAGCGAUUAGAUCUGUGAUAAGGGAGAGUGAAUGGGAAGAUAGCGAUAAGAUUUUAGGCGAGAGAAAUAGCGG
rnacentral:lncRNA from 1 species